AUAAAGGCUUGGUCUGCUUUGCCUGAGUAUCCUAAUUAAUAAUAAUGAAAUACUGAAAAUACCCUUUGAGAGUCUGAAGUCAUUCAGCCACCCCUGGUUUCCCAGUUCUCCUGCAAAAUCCUCUCCAAUCAACCUCCACUUCAGCCUCUACAAGAUGCACAGCACUGAGCUAGCCAGCCCUUUGACCUGACCUACUCCACAGAAGUGCUUCUGCUCUUGCAUUCCCUGAACCUGGGAAGAGCCAUACCCAAUGUGAAGUUUUUCAGAGGUGGAAACCUCCAGCACAGGAAUAGCGGUGUCUCGGUGAAGAGAGUCGUCUGCAAAGAGAGUGUGGCUCAGUAUUGUGUGUAAAUCUUGUGGCCUCUGAAAGAUACAACAGCAGCACACUGUCUUCAUUUAGUACCAGGGCUGAGAGGACAGUAAAUAUGUGAUCUGGCAUACAGUCUGCACAAAGUUAAUCCCUUCAGAAUUUCUAGAACAAAUCUGAAGCAGUCAGCAUUUCUUCUACUCUAAAGUCAGGGAUUCUGGGAAUAGAAGGAGGCAAAAUUCUAGAACAGAGUGUACGUAGCAAAAAUAAAUUGUGUCCUUUCAUGAUGCUAUUAUCAGAUCUGCAAA